GUGGGGAAUUUUGGACAAUGGGCGAAAGCCUGAUCCAGCCAUGCCGCGUGCAGGAUGAAGGCCUUCGGGUUGUAAACUGCUUUUGUACGGAACGAAAAGACUCCUUCUAAUAAAGGGGGUCCAUGACGGUACCGUAAGAAUAAGCACCGGCUAACUACGUGCCAGCAGCCGCGGUAAUACGUAGGGUGCAAGCGUUAAUCGGAAUUACUGGGCGUAAAGCGUGCGCAGGCGGUUAUAUAAGACAGAUGUGAAAUCCCCGGGCUCAACCUGGGAACUGCAUUUGUGACUGUAUAGCUAGAGUACGGUAGAGGGGGAUGGAAUUCCGCGUGUAGCAGUGAAAUGCGUAGAUAUGCGGAGGAACACCGAUGGCGAAGGCAAUCCCCUGGACCUGUACUGACGCUCAUGCACGAAAGCGUGGGGAGCAAACAGGAUUAGAAACCCUGGUAGUCC
rnacentral:rRNA from 1 species